GUGUAACAUCAGGAGCGGUUUCUAAGUAGAAACCCACCAACCGAGCCUCAAAGCUACGGUGGUCAGUUCCAUUAAACGGAAGAUGUGCCUUGAAAGAGGAAAAAUGGAACCGCCUGA
ncrna:unclassified sequences SAM-I/IV variant riboswitch